CAGCUACAUAUUGUUUUAGACUCUCCACAUAAGACAUCCUCAUGACUUCUUCUGUGCAUGAUCGUUCUGAUAAUAGUGAAUCUGAUGACCAGCAAAGUCAUUCAGAGUCUCAAAUUCAUUCUUCCUUGCCUGCCAUUGGAAUUUCUCAUCCUGGAAUUCCAACCCCAAAUAUUCAGUAUGCAGCCCCUCCACAGG